GUGUCAGCAGCCGCGGUAAUACGUAGGUGGCAAGCGUUGUCCGGAUUUAUUGGGCGUAAAGCGCCCGCAGGCGGCUCAGCAAGUUUCAGGUGAAAUCUCCUGGCUCAACUGGGAGGGGUCUUGGAAAACUGCUGGGCUUGAGGCAGGGAGAGGGAUGCGGAAUACCAGGUGUAGUGGUGAAAUGCGUAGAUAUCUGGUGGAACACCAGUGGCGAAGGCGGCAUCCUGGCCCUGUCCUGACGCUCAGGGGCGAAAGCGUGGGGAGCAAACCGGAUUAGAUACCCGGGUAGUCCACGCCGUAAACGAUGAGUACUAGGUGUAGGGGGUAUCGACCCCCUCUGUGCCGAAGCUAACGCGAUAAGUACUCCGCCUGGGGACUACGGCCGCAAGGCUAAA
rnacentral:rRNA from 1 species